AGAGCAAUCGGCUGUUAACCGAUCGGUCGUAGGUUCGAAUCCUACCGUUGGAGCCA
rnacentral:tRNA from 1 species